GGUCCUCGGCGGGGGAAAGAAGAUAGGCGGUCCGCGGGAAGGUUUGCUGGGACUCGGUGCCGUCGGCGGGUCGAAGCUCGGUGGUGGCCGGCUUGGAGUGAAGGAGGUGCGGCGUCUUCUUUCAGGUGGCGGCACGGGGUCUUCCUCGAGGCGGUGGUCCGUCUUCUUGGUCCAGUGGUUAGUGCUUUGUCUCAAUUACAGGAACAGGAAUUGCUCUUUAGUGCACAGCACUUAGAAGUGCUUUUAACAGGAGCAGACAUCCCCAGAGUUGGGCUCGACUCAUGGUUUGUGUUGUUCCUCUCAGACAUGGUUGUGUUCUCUUCUCGAUGUUUGUUUGGUUGUAUUUUAAACUUUCAAGUUGUUUUAAGUUAAUUUUAAAGUGGUUUAUUUGUUUUAAAUUGAGUUUUGCUACAUUAAAUUUGUAUGCAAUCGCAAGGGAUUGUGGGUAUUUUAGUUCUGAGGGAUGAGAGCCUAAGGAAUCAAUCUUCCUGUUACAGCAAAGGAUUGUGGGUUAAACCGAGAGUGAGUGAGGUACUUCCUUUCUGGCAUGAGAGCCUUGGGAAUCCAUCUCCCUGUUGCAGAAAUGGAUUGUGGGUAAAACCGUGAGUGAGGGAGGUACAUUUUUCCUGGCAUGAGAACCUCAGGAGUCAGUCCUUCCUAAGAAAAAAGAGGGGAGGGGGGAAGAAAAACAAAAGCACAGGAACCCUAAAAUAAAAUAAUACAAUAUAAAACAAUGAAAAAAUAAAAAAAUAAAAGAAGAACAAAAGUGGAUUGCAAAAAGGGAAGGGGAAGAAAAAAGGAAAAAAAGAAGUGUCAAGAGCAAAUAGCAAAAAUCAAAAGUGAGCUUAAAAACAGAGAACAGUUCCCUAAAAGACAGACAGACAGAAAUGUAAAUUUGAUCAAUGUCCUAAGGGAAAAUCUGUACGUGUGUGCGUGUGUGUGCGUGUGCGUGUGUGUGUGUGUGUGUGUGUGUGUGUGUGUGUUCUUUUUUGCUAGCUUAGUCUGGUGUCACUGAUGGUCAGUUAUUGAUAAGUAUUUAUUAUUUAAAUUUUUGAUGAAGUUGUUUGUAGUGGGGUUAGCUGGCUAAUUUUAGAGUGUUAAAAAAGAUGUUUGAGGGGGAGGAUUUAGGGGGCACGGCGGUUCCCCUUCAGGUCUCUCUUAAUCCUCCAUAUAGGUGACCCAACAGGGGUUACCCCCCGGCCGGGGUAGGCCUAGGCUGAAGAUCACCUAUUUGUCCUCUGUGAAGGUGAAAAUAAAGGGGCAGGGGAGGGAAUAAGAAAGAGGGGGUGUGUUAGAGAGAGGGGGAGAGAUGAGGGAGAGAGAUGAGGGAGAGAGAGAGAGUGUGUGAGAGAGAGGGGGAAGAGGGAAAGAGGGAGAGAGGGGGGGGGAGUGUGUGUGAGAGAGAGAGAGAGAGAGAGAGAGAGAGAAGGGAAGAGGGAGAGGGGGGUUUAAGGGAGAGGUGGAGAUGGUGGAAAAUAAAGAUUGGUGAGGGGGAUUUGGUGGCGGAUGAAACAUCCCAUAGCUCCC